GGAGCUCCCGAAGCCUGACCUGCCGCCUCUUCCCAAGCCUGAAGAACCGAAGCCUGAGCCCCUGCCGGUGCCGCCGCAGCCCCUGCCGAACCCUGAGCCGCUGCCGGUACCGCCACAGCCCCUGCCGAAUCCUGAGCCCCUGCCAAACCCUGAGCCGCUGCCGGUGCCACCACAGCCCUUGCCCAAGCCCGAGCCGCUGCCGGUGCCACCUCAGCCUCUUCCCAAGCCCGACCCGCUGCCGGUGCCACCACAGCCUCUUCCCAAGCCCGACCCAUUGCCGGUGCCACCACAACCCCUACCGAAGCCGGAUCCAUUGCCGGUACCACCACAGCCCCUGCCCCAACCCGAACUGCCGAAGCCGGAGCUGCCACCCCCGGUGCUGGCUGGUGAGCUUCCACCAAAGCCAGAGGCAGUGCCACCGAAGCCGGAGGUGGU
rnacentral:lncRNA from 1 species